UUAGCUGUGAACAGACGGCAGCUUUUCAACUGGGAAAACUUUCCUUGCGCUUCAGUCAACUUUUGUACCAAAUAAUCCUUGACUAGAUAUUUUAGAGUAUUUCUACGUGCACCAACAUAAGAAAAAGAUGGCAACGUCUCUAAGUGAUGUAACCCUUUAUACAUCCUGUUUUUACAGUGCUCGGCAACGAAAUAGUAGAAGACGGAAACUGCGAUGGGCCUCCCAGAGAUCCAAAAAAGACUGUUCGAAACUGCAAUUACUACUGCCAGAAUGGCGGCGACUGGGACAACAAAUACUUCCCAGCGGGAACAAAGUGUCAGUAUCAGCCAGGACGCAUGGGUACCUGCGUGGCACAAGCAGACGAAUCGACCGGCUGCCAACUCGACGAGGAUGUAAGUGUCCAAAAUCCGGGACACGGAGUUCAGCAAUCAACUACAGAGGCAGAGCAGACUACAACGCCUUCCAAAAGAAAAAAGAAAAGUUCAAAAAAGUUGAAUAAGAAGACUAAGAAGCCCAAAUCUUCUACCAACGCAGCAACGGAAUCCAAAGAUAAGAAGAAAAAGAAAAAGAAACGUCAGACGCAAGCGGUGGAAUGGUAGACAGAGCCGUCUCAAGAAAUAAAUUUCGGCUGUCUUUUGCAUCAAGAGUUCAAAAGACCUCGUCCCAUUUCUCCUCGACGUAAAAGAAAAAGAAAACGUCCUGCUAAAAAUUUAUAGCUAAUAACACUGGGCCAAGGCGUAUAACAACGGGAAAUAGUGUAUCUCUAAGUAAGCGGCUACAUAAUUUAAUAAAGUCAACAAACAGCUGAUUUGUAUCAAGUGUACCUUACGACAGUUGCAAAAACGCAACUGUAAUGGCCAGACGACCUAUUUUAUGAUAUUGUGGGAAUAUUGCGAGCACUUUGUUAGCUUCAGUCUUGUCCAUAUUCUAGUGAAAUCCGAGAAAGCCGAGCAAA